UGCUGGGGCCCCAUGGGACUAGAAGCUGUACAAGAGACAGUCACUGCCCCAGAGGGUUUACAGUCUGUCUAGACAAGACAAAGUAUUAUCCCCAUUUUACAGCUGGGCGCUGAGGCAUGGAGAAAUUAAGGCUCAGAUCUCAUAGGUAUUUUAAAUCAAUAGGCAUUAGGCACCUGAAUACCUUUGAAGACAUGAGCCUAAGGACAGGUCGACACUUAACAAUUAGAUCAACCUAGCUACAUUGCACAGGGUGAUGAAAAACUUCAUACCCUCAAUAACACAGGCGACUAACCCCGGCACAGAUGCAACUAGGUUGACAGACGAUUGACCUAGCUACCGCCUCUCAGAGAAGUGGAUUAACUACAUCGAUGGAAAAACCUCUACUGUCGAUGCAGAAAGUGUACACUGUGCUGUUGUAGCGGCUACGGUGUACACAUGGCCUAAAUGACUUGCCCAAUGUCAAACAGGGAAGCUGUGGCAGAGUUGGUGACAAAAAGAUUUUCUGCGAGAGCAUCUUUCCUAAGAAAAAGCCAUGGAUCGCCAGUGCGUGUGGUAGGAGUGCCCCGAACAGGAGCUACCAGGGCUUGGCUGUGCUGGCAUUGAGGAUCAGGCUGCUGCAGAAGAGAGAACUGCUCCCCCCUCACCCAGGAGAGAGAGCCCCUGUCUGGCUAUGAAGCUCAGAGCACACAUCACCCGCAAGCCCUGGCAAUGUGAGGGGAG